rnacentral:rRNA from 1 species
UACAGAGGUCCCAAGCGUUGUUCGGAUUCACUGGGCGUAAAGGGUGCGUAGGCGGCCGGGUAAGUCUGGCGUGAAAUCUCCAAGCCUAACUUGGAAACUGCGUUGGAUACUAUCCGGCUCGAGGAAUGGAGGGGAGACUGGAAUACUUGGUGUAGCAGUGAAAUGCGUAGAUAUCAAGUGGAACACCAGUGGCGAAGGCGAGUCUCUGGACAUUUCCUGACGCUGAGGCACGAAAGCCAGGGGAGCAAACGGG